CCGGCGCACGGGUGGGUAACACGUAUCCAACCUGCCGUCUACUCUUGGACAGCCUUCUGAAAGGAAGAUUAAUACAAGAUGGCAUCAUGAGUUCACAUGUUCACAUGAUUAAAGGUAUUCCGGUAGACGAUGGGGAUGCGUUCCAUUAGAUAGUAGGCGGGGUAACGGCCCACCUAGUCUUCGAUGGAUAGGGGUUCUGAGAGGAAGGUCCCCCACAUUGGAACUGAGACACGGUCCAA
rnacentral:rRNA from 1 species